CUGAAAUAUAACAUGACGGAUCCUAAAGAAUCAGAUUAAUUGCAAGUCUUCUAAUGAUUAUAAACAGAAAUAUGUUGUUGGAACAAUAUGUAUGAUGAAUAUUUUUUUAUUCUCUGUUUUCUGAAUUACUUUAUAGGGACCCUGGCAAGUGAUGUCUUCUUCCAGGCCUAUCUUUUGGAUGGGCUAUCAAGGUGGAAUGAGGACCGGGCUGUGGCAGCAUCAAAGGAUGAGCAGUCGUGCUCAUACAACCAUCUGCUCCGUCAUGCUGCUAACACCCUAGCAGAGGAGGUUCUGGGCGAAAAGAUCAUCCCUUAUGUCGGGCCAAGACAAUACACAGGUUGAUUAUUGUUAUAUGAUUGUUUGUUUUUGAUUUCUUCAACUUAUGCUUUCAUCUAAUGUUUAACUUUUUUGUGUUCUUGUUUGUGCUUUUUCUUUUCUUUUCUUUUCUUUUUUUGUCUUGUUUUGUUAAAUCAUCAUUUUGAAGGUAAGCUUUUAGGUGUGGAAUACCUCUAUCAGCAAACUGGCAAAGUUCUGCAGGACUACAAAGUGGUCAUUGAAGAGUCUGAGACCACUGAAGUUGAGAUAGAUGAGGGCUUCACAGGACAUGACAGUACCCACACUAGAGGCAGAGCAAGCACUUCUCACCUCACAAGCAUCUGCAGCUGUUCCUGGUUCCUCAGCAGCUCCAUCUCCUCAGGCUACUGCCUUUGUGCCUCCCAUUCCCCCCGUUAUCCCUCUGUUGCCAGUGACUCAGUCACAUGUCGCCUCAUCAUCAGCUUCUGCAGCUCCUUCACCUGCUGUGACCGCUCUGCUCCCCCAUUCCACACAAACAGUUUCUCCUGCAGAACAGUCUACAUCAGCGCCAUCUACUGAUCCAUCUCCACACUCCUCCUCAUGCCAUGAUUGGGUUGGCCCUGAUAACAUUGAAGGGUAUGGCGCAGUGCAGGAUCUGGCUGAUUACUUGGCUGGACUAAGAGACCAUCGUCUUGCGCUGACUCAGGAGGAAUGUAGUCAGGUCAUUGCUCUGUGGCAGGAACUGGGGGAGUAUGACAAAAAAAAAAAACUGUCUACCCAGCUCGACACCAGACCAGCCUGAGCAAGGGACGAUUCCGGGCUAUGAAGAAGAUUAUGGCUCCAGGUGUGGAGAGCACCAAAAGGUGAAUUAAACUAGGAAAACACAAUAUCUGGGUUAUGUAAAAAAAAGUUAAAUAUAAUGUAAGUCACACAUUAUUGUAAUGUUUUUAAAGCAUACAUUAUUUUCUCACAGUCCUGCACAGUGGCCCGACUGCAACAGAGUGGUUGAGGUGAUCUUUGUCAAGCUUUUUGCCAUCUACCCGAGCACUGUGCGCUGUGAGGGAAAGAAGCUGUCAAGAUACACUGUGGUGAUACGCGCGUACAAAAACAUCAGGGAGUGCGUAGUCACAAACGCCAGGCUGAUGAGCGAGACCACUAUACAGCUGCCUGAAGUAAAUGCUGCAACAGUUUCACAGUGGUGAGUAGGAUUUAUAUAAAUAUACAUAUUUUAUGUAGAGCUGAUUUUGUUGACCACUAAUUA
ensembl:lncRNA